rnacentral:rRNA from 1 species
UACGUAGGGUGCGAGCGUUGUCCGGAAUUAUUGGGCGUAAAGGGUGCGUAGGCGGCGCGGUAAGUCGGGUGUGAAAUCUCGGAGCUUAACUCCGAAACUGCAUUCGAUACUGCCGUGCUUGAGGACUGGAGAGGAGACUGGAAUUUACGGUGUAGCGGUGAAAUGCGUAGAUAUCGUAAGGAAGACCAGUGGCGAAGGCGGGUCUCUGGACAGUUCCUGACGCUGAGGCACGAAGGCCAGGGGAGCAAACGGG